CAGAAGCCGAAAGCCUAGACAACACUGUGAAAGAACUUGCUGAACAACUGGAAUUUAUCAAAAACUCAGAUAUUCGGGGUGCCUUGGAUAGCAUUACCAAGUAUUUCCAGAUGUCUCUUGAGGCAGAGGAGAGGGUGAAUGCCUCCACCACAGAACCCAACAGCACUGUGGAGCAGUCAGCCCUCAUGAGAGACAGAGUAGAAGACGUGAUGAUGGAGCGAGAAUCCCAGUUCAAGGAAAAACAAGAGGAGCAGGCUCGCCUCCUUGAUGAACUGGCAGGCAAGCUGCAAAGCCUAGACCUUUCAGCUGCUGCCGAAAUGGUAAGGCUUGGGGGUGUGGCCUUACUGCUAUGGUGCCAAGCAAAAA
rnacentral:sRNA from 1 species